UACGUAGGGCGCAAGCGUUGUCCGGAAUUAUUGGGCGUAAAGAGCUCGUAGGCGGCCAGUUGCGUCCGCUGUGAAAUCCCAGGGCUUAACCCUGGGCGUGCAGUGGAUACGGGCUGGCUGGAGGCAGGCAGGGGAGAACGGAAUUCCCGGUGUAGCGGUGAAAUGCGCAGAUAUCAGGAGGAACACCAGUGGCGAAGGCGGUGCUCUGGGCCGGAACUGACGCUGAUGAGCGAAAGCGUGGGGAGCAAACAGG
rnacentral:rRNA from 1 species